UACGUAGGGGGCAAGCGUUGUCCGGAAUCAUUGGGCGUAAAGAGCGUGUAGGCGGCCCGAUAAGUCCGCUGUGAAAGUCCAGGGCUCAACCCUGGGAUGCCGGUGGAUACUGUCGGGCUCGAGUCCGGAAGAGGAGUGUGGAAUUCCUGGUGUAGCGGUGAAAUGCGCAGAUAUCAGGAGGGACACCAAUGGCGAAGGCAGCACUCUGGGACGUGACUGACGCUGAGACGCGAAAGCGUGGGGAGCAAACAGG
rnacentral:rRNA from 1 species